CAAAGGGAGAAAGAAUAGAAAAACCCUAAAGAGGAAAAAUUCAAGAGAAAUUCAUUGGAUUUUCGAAAAACGAAGCGAUCGGAGGUGGUGAGCCCUCUAGUAAGGGUAAGGAUAUCAUACCCGAGGACCAGGAGUAGGAGUACUCCCAUUAUAGGGAAGCGGAAAACUGAUGCUAGAGCCCUGCGAGGUUUCGGUUGACAUUCCAAGUAAGGUAUGUCUAUCGGGACAUCACGGCGGUUGUCACAAGCUUGAAGAGAGUACCGGGUCGUGACAAGGAAAAACAUGGAAGAGGUUGGGAAAUGUGAAAAUAUUUAAUUCUUAAUUAUUAAAAGUAUUUUAUAUUUAUAUUAAAGUCCUUACAAAUUUUGUUAUUUACCUCAUUAAGGAGGUGGUAACAUUUGGUGGAUUGAUAGUGCGUUGAAGCUAUACACUGUCAGUGCAUUAAAUAUUAAUUAUAUAUAUAUAA